rnacentral:rRNA from 1 species
UCUACAGGCUUAACACAUGCAAGUCGAGGGGCAGCAUGGUCUUAGCUUGCUAAGGCCGAUGGCGACCGGCGCACGGGUGAGUAACGCGUAUCCAACCUGCCUUACACUCUUGGACAGCCUUCUGAAAGGGAGAUUAAUACAAGAUGUUAUCAUGAGUAAGCAUUUUCACAUGAUUAAAGGUUUACCGGUGUAAGAUGGGGAUGCGUUCCAUUAGAUAGUAGGCGGGGUAACGGCCCACCUAGUCUUCGAUGGAUAGGGGUUCUGAGAGGAAGGUCCCCCACAUUGGAACUGAGACACGGUCCAAACUCCUACGGGAGGCAGCAGUGAGGAAUAUUGGUCAAUGGACGAGAGUCUGAACCAGCCAAGUAGCGUGAAGGAUGAAGGUUCUAUGGAUUGUAAACUUCUUUUAUACGGGAAUAAACGGAUCCACGUGUGGAUUUUUGCAUGUACCGUAUGAAUAAGGAUCGGCUAGCUCCGUGCCAGCAGCCGCGGUAAUACGGAGGAUCCGAGCGUUAUCCGGAUUUAUUGGGUUUAAAGGGAGCGUAGAUGGGUUGUUAAGUCAGUUGUGAAAGUUUGCGGCUCAACCGUAAAAUUGCAAUUGAUACUGGCAGUCUUGAGUACAGUUGAGGUAGGCGGAAUUCGUGGUGUAGCGGUGAAAUGCUUAGAUAUCACGAAGAACUCCGAUUGCGAAGGCAGCUUACUAACCUGUAACUGACAUUGAUGCUCGAAAGUGUGGGUAUCAAACAGGAUUAGAUACCCUGGUAGUCCACACGGUAAACGAUGAAUACUCGCUGUAGGCGAUAUACAGUCUGCGGCCAAGCGAAAGCAUUAAGUAUUCCACCUGGGGAGUACGCCGGCAACGGUGAAACUCAAAGGAAUUGACGGGGGCCCGCACAAGCGGAGGAACAUGUGGUUUAAUUCGAUGAUACGCGAGGAACCUUACCCGGGCUUAAAUUGCAACCGAAUAUGGCGGAAACGCUAUAGCUAGCAAUAGCGGUUGUGAAGGUGCUGCAUGGUUGUCGUCAGCUCGUGCCGUGAGGUGUCGGCUUAAGUGCCAUAACGAGCGCAACCCUUGCCGAUAGUUGCUAACAGGUCAUGCUGAGGACUCUGUCGGGACUGCCAUCGUAAGAUGUGAGGAAGGUGGGGAUGACGUCAAAUCAGCACGGCCCUUACGUCCGGGGCUACACACGUGUUACAAUGGGGGGUACAGAGGGCUGCUACCACGCAAGUGGAUGCCAAUCCCAAAAACCUCUCUCAGUUCGGAUUGAAGUCUGCAACCCGACUUCAUGAAGCUGGAUUCGCUAGUAAUCGCGCAUCAGCCACGGCGCGGUGAAUACGUUCCCGGGCCUUGUACACACCGCCCGUCAAGCCAUGGGAGCCGGGGGUACCUGAAGUGCGUAACAGCAAGGAGCGCCCUAGGGUAAAACUGGUGACUGGG